UACGUAGGGUGCGAGCGUUGUCCGGAAUUAUUGGGCGUAAAGAGCUUGUAGGCGGUCUGUCGCGUCUGCUGUGAAAAUCCGGGCUCAACCCCGGACUUGCAGUGGGUACGGGCAGACUAGAGUGUGGUAGGGGAGACUGGAAUUCCUGGUGUAGCGGUGAAAUGCGCAGAUAUCAGGAGGAACACCGAUGGCGAAGGCAGGUCUCUGGGCCGACACUGACGCU
rnacentral:rRNA from 1 species